rnacentral:lncRNA from 1 species
AUGCACGGGCUUAACAGUCGCACCCAAAGGCACAUGGAGGAUUUCUGGGCUCCAAGAAAGCAACACAUAUGCGGCCCGGGUGCCCUGAAAGGCAUUGGGAGGCUCCUCGGCUCAACCUCAAGGCACGGUGAGGCUCCUCGGCCGCACCCAAAGGCACAUGGAGGCUCCCCGGAUGCACCGAAAGGCACGUGGAGGCUUCCUGGCCCUGUAAGAGGCACGCAGAGGCCUGCAGCCCCAACGAAAAACAGGUGGAAGCUCCCCAGCCACACCAAAAAGCACAAGGAGGCCCCCAGUCUGCACCCAAAGGCAUGCGGAGGCCCCCCAGCUACACCAAAAGGCACAAGGAGGCUCUCCAGCCACACUGAAAGGCACAUGGAGGCUCCUCCACUGCAUCAAAAGGCAGGCAGAGGCUCCCUGGCCACACGUAAAGGCACAAGGAGGUCCCCUGGCCACACCAAAAGGGACAAGAACCCCCCCUUCCCGGCCACAACUAAAGGCACGCGAAGGCUCCCCGGGUGCACUUCAAGGUACGUGGAGGCUCCCUGGCUGCACCCGAAUGCACAAGAAGGACUCCUGGCCACACCCAAAGGCAUGCGGAGGCCCUCUGGCCACACCCAUAGGCACACAGAGGCCCCCUGGCUGCACCCAAAUGCACAAGAAGGACUUCUGGCCACACCCAAAGGCAUGUGGAGGCCCUCUGACCGCACCCAUAGGCAGCCCGACUGCACCCAAAGUCACGUGGAGCCUCCCCAGCCGUGCCUAAAGGCACGCAAAGCCUCCUCAGCUGCACCCAAAGGCCCCCAGAGCCUCCCCAGCUGCUCUGAAAGGCACAGGGAGACUCUCUGGCCACUCCGAAAGGUACACAGAGCCUUUCCAAACACUCUGACAGGUGCACAGAGCCUCCCCAGCUGCACCCAAAGGCACAUGGAGGCUCCCCAGGCGUACCCAAAGGCACAUGGAGGCUCCCCAGGCACACCCAAAGGCACAUGGAGGCUCCCCAGGCACACCCAAAGGCAUGCGGAGCUUCCCCGGCCACUCCAAAAGGCGCGUGGAGCCUGCCUGACAUUCUAG